UGAAGAAGUGAGGUGAAGGAAUCUUCGGCUGGUGCAAAUUAAAUAUUGCAUUGUUAUAUUCCAGUGUUAAAAUGCUCGUUUUGUGCGUAUUUAAUUAAUGUAGUCGGUAUAAGUUAGCUAAAAUAGUAUCUCGCGUGGGGUCCAUGUUCGGUAAUUAGAAAAAGGCGUACCAGGAAAUUGAGCAGCGUGGACCUGAUAUGUACGUAUUGCAGAACUGUUAUUAUAGUUAAGUAAAUAAGCAUCCCAAUGAUUAUUUCAAUCACUACCCAUUUGACCCAUUCAUGUGUCUGGGGAGGAUUAUAAAUUAGAUAUAAAAUGAGGGUGUUGGCAUUCAUUCUCUAAAGACCUUGCUAAGUCUGUGUAAAACUAACUUUACCUUACUGUAUCACCAUUAUUCUUUCAGGGUCGGCCUGUUCAAGUGGCAUCAAGUGAUUUCUUGACACACCUACAUUUACCAAAAGCACUUUAUUGGUUUGUCUUCGUAUCUCAUUUAUAUUAUUCAUUACCAAAUAAAUACAAAUUGUGAAGCAA